ACGGGGCGCGCAGGCGCGAAACCUCUACAAUAGGCGAAAGCCUGACAGGGUUACUCUGAGUGACUUUCGCUAAGAAAGUCUUUUGACACCUCUAAAAAUGGUGUAGAAUAAGGGGUGGGCAAGUCUGGUGUCAGCCGCCGCGGUAAUACCAGCACCCCGAGUGGUCGGGACGAUUAUUGGGCCUAAAGCAUCCGUAGCCGGUUUUACAAGUCCCCCGUUAAAUCCAGCUGCUUAACAGAUGGGCUGCGGAGGAUACUAUAAGACUAGGAGGCAGGAGAGGCAAGCGGUACUCAGUGGGUAGGGGUAAAAUCCGUUGAUCCAUUGAAGACCACCAGUGGCGAAGGCGGCUUGCCAGAAUGCGCUCGACGGUGAGGGAUGAAAGCUGGGGGAGCAAACCGGAUUAGAUACCCGGGUAGUCCCAGCUGUAAACGAUGCAGACUCGGUGAUGGACUAGCUUUAUGCUAGUCCAGUGCCGCAGGGAAGCCGUUAAGUCUGCCGCCUGGGUAGUACGGUCGCAAGACUGAAACUCAAAGGAAUUGACGGA
rnacentral:rRNA from 1 species